CGUUUAAUUUAGAUUUGACUUAUGAAGAAAAAAACCAAUACAAAUUUGUCAAACUUAAGUGUUGGUUUGGUGGUCAAAACAGUUUUGUAGGGAGAGAGAGAGCCGACUAAACCUAAAACCAGCCGCCGCCCUUCUAGAUCUGAUUUUCGUUUGCCCUCUCCGAUGACCGGCGCUCCUCGCCGCAGCCGUGAGAGGGUCCCCAGUAUUUUCCUUUUCGUUUAGUUGAUGUCUCCUUCGAUUCGUCUUAGCUCUGGUGGUUAAGUAGAGAAGAGUUUCGUCAGGCUGUGAUGGUGGUUCUUCUCGGCGAGCUCUAGAGGCAUGGCAGGUGGUCAGCUUCUCCAGAGAGAGUUGUCUGGUUGGGCUUCCGGAUCUGUAGAUCUUCUGGUUGCUCUGUCUUAGAAAGGGAUUUGCGAAUCUGUGACCUUUUGUCUCGCUCCAGCUCUUUGGUCCGAUAUGAUUGAUAUCUGGUCCUAUGGGUUUUGCUUCUACCUAGGUGCAAAAAAAGUCGCCUUGUAUACGACGUCGCCGUAUCCGGAAGAAAGUGUGAAGAACUUAGAGUGGUUCUAUCUUUGCGGAUUAUGAAGAUUAGCGUAGGAGUUCUGUUACUUUUAGGUAGUUUCUUAGAGGAGGAAUGGAUUUUCGAAGGUUGGCCGAGGGCAUCUUCGAUUU